GACGAACGCUGGCGGCGUGCUUAACACAUGCAAGUCGAACGCUGAAGCUCAGCUUUUGUUGGGUGGAUGAGUGGCGAACGGGUGAGUAACACGUGAGUAACCUGCCCCCUUCUUUGGGAUAACGCCCGGAAACGGGUGCUAAUACUGGAUAUUCACUGGUCUUCGCAUGGGGGUUGGUGGAAAGGGUUUUUCUGGUGGGGGAUGGGCUCGCGGCCUAUCAGCUUGUUGGUGGGGUGAUGGCCUACCAAGGCUUUGACGGGUAGCCGGCCUGAGAGGGUGACCGGUCACAUUGGGACUGAGAUACGGCCCAGACUCCUACGGGAGGCAGCAGUGGGGAAUAUUGCACAAUGGGCGCAAGCCUGAUGCAGCGACGCCGCGUGAGGGAUGGAGGCCUUCGGGUUGUGAACCUCUUUCGCUCAUGGUCAAGCCGCAACAAUGGUUGUGGUGAGGGUAGCGGGUAAAGAAGCGCCGGCUAACUACGUG
rnacentral:rRNA from 1 species